ACUCAAUAGAUACCCUGGUAGUCCCUGGCAGUAAACGGUGCGCGUUUGGUGUGGGAGGAUUCGACCCCUUCUGUGCCGGAGCUAAACGCGUUAAACGCGCCGCCUGGGGAGUACGGUCGCAAGAUUAAAACUCAAAGAAAUUGACGGGGCCCGGCACAAGCGGUGGAGUAUGUGGCUUAAUUCGAUGCAACGCGAAGAACCUUAACCUAGCCUUGACAUGCAUCUCUAAGUCGGUGAAAGCCGGCGACCAUAGCAAUAUGGAAUUUGCACAGGUGCUGCAUGGCUGUCGUCAGCUCGUGUCGUGAGAUGUUGGGUUUAAAGUCCCGCAACGAGCGCAACCCCUGUGAACUGUUGCCUACCGGAUCUUCGGUAUCGAGCACUCUGUUCAG
rnacentral:rRNA from 1 species